AUGGACCUAGACGGCUUCCCACUUGACCAUGAGUUUCUGGACGACUACGGGCAAGAGGAAGAGGACGAGUGCGACAUUGACGUGGAGCCUUUGUUCAAGGACGAGCUCGCCAACCAAGCCGUCGGGCCGAAGCUGAAGCGCAAGAGCAAGCGCACGAAGGCAUACACGGCGGCCGAGGACAAGCUUCUUUGCGAGUGUUGGCGAGAUACUGGACAAGACCCCAAGACCGGCGCCAAACAAAAGCAUUCAACUUUUUGGAUUCGUGUCCACCGGGAGUUUCAUGAGCGCAAUAAGUUUCCUCCUUACCAAAUUGUGAGCACGCGCGGGUGGGUGUCCAUUUUGAAGUGA
rnacentral:rRNA from 1 species